CCUUUCGAAAGAAAGGUUAAUACCCGAUGGUAUCUUAAGCACGCAUGAGAUUAAGAUUAAAGAUUUAUCGGUAAGCGAUGGGGAUGCGUUCCAUUAGGCAGUUGGCGGGGUAACGGCCCACCAAACCUACGAUGGAUAGGGGUUCUGAGAGGAAGGUCCCCCACAUUGGAACUGAGACACGGUCCAAACUCCUACGGGAGGCAGCAGUGAGGAAUAUUGGUCAAUGGGCGAGAGCCUGAACCAGCCAAGUAGCGUGAAGGAUGACGGCCCUACGGGUUGUAAACUUCUUUUGUG
rnacentral:rRNA from 1 species